AUUGAACGCUGGCGGCAUGCUUUACACAUGCAAGUCGAACGGCAGCGGGGGCUUCGGCCUGCCGGCGAGUGGCGAACGGGUGAGUAAUGCAUCGGAACGUGCCCAUGUCGUGGGGGAUAACGUAGCGAAAGCUACGCUAAUACCGCAUACGCCCUGAGGGGGAAAGCGGGGGAUUCUUCGGAACCUCGCGCGAUUGGAGCGGCCGAUGUCGGAUUAGCUAGUAGGUGGGGUAAAGGCCCACCUAGGCGACGAUCCGUAGCGGGUCUGAGAGGAUGAUCCGCCACACUGGGACUGAGACACGGCCCAGACUCCUACGGGAGGCAGCAGUGGGGAAUUUUGGACAAUGGGCGCAAGCCUGAUCCAGCCAUGCCGCGUGAGUGAAGAAGGCCUCGGUUG
rnacentral:rRNA from 1 species